rnacentral:rRNA from 1 species
UGCGUAGGCGGAUCAAUAAGUCAGUGGUGAAAUAUCUCGGCUCAACCGGGAAACUGCCAUUGAUACUGUUGAUCUUGAGUUCGGUUGAGGUAGGCGGAAUGUGUAAUGUAGCGGUGAAAUGCUUAGAUAUUACACAGAACACCAAUUGCGUAGGCAGCUUACUAGACCGACACUGACGCUGAGGCACGAAAGCGUGGGGAGCGAACAGGAUUAGAUACCCUGGUAGUCC